AGAGUUUGAUCCUGGCUCAGGACGAACGCUGGCGGCACGCUUAACACAUGCAAGUCGAACGAGAGAAGAGAAGCUUGCUUUUCUGAUCUAGUGGCGGACGGGUGAGUAACACGUGAGCAAUCUGCCUUUCAGAGGGGGAUACCGAUUGGAAACGAUCGUUAAUACCGCAUAAUAUAAUUGAACCGCAUGAUUUGAUUAUCAAAGAUUUAUCGCUGAAAGAUGAGCUCGCGUCUGAUUAGCUAGUUGGUAAGGUAACGGCUUACCAAGGCGACGAUCAGUAGCCGGACUGAGAGGUUGAACGGCCACAUUGGGACUGAGACACGGCCCAGACUCCUACGGGAGGCAGCAGUGGGGAAUAUUGCACAAUGGAGGAAACUCUGAUGCAGCGAUGCCGCGUGAGGGAAGAAGGUUUUAGGAUUGUAAACCUCUGUCUUCAGGGACGAAAAAAGACGGUACCUGAGGAGGAAGCUCCGGCUAACUACGUGCCAGCAGCCGCGGUAAUACGUAGGGAGCGAGCGUUGUCCGGAAUUACUGGGUGUAAAGGGAGCGUAGGCGGGAUCGCAAGUCAGAUGUGAAAACUAUGGGCUUAACCCAUAAACUGCAUUUGAAACUGUGGUUCUUGAGUGAAGUAGAGGUAAGCGGAAUUCCUAGUGUAGCGGUGAAAUGCGUAGAUAUUAGGAGGAACAUCAGUGGCGAAGGCGGCUUACUGGGCUUUAACUGACGCUGAGGCUCGAAAGCGUGGGGAGCAAACAGGAUUAGAUACCCUGGUAGUCCACGCCGUAAACGAUGAUUACUAGGUGUGGGGGGACUGACCCCUUCCGUGCCGCAGCAAACGCAAUAAGUAAUCCACCUGGGGAGUACGACCGCAAGGUUGAAACUCAAAGGAAUUGACGGGGGCCCGCACAAGCAGUGGAGUAUGUGGUUUAAUUCGACGCAACGCGAAGAACCUUACCAAGUCUUGACAUCCCUUGACGAUGCUGGAAACAGCAUUUCUCUUCGGAGCAAGGAGACAGGUGGUGCAUGGUUGUCGUCAGCUCGUGUCGUGAGAUGUUGGGUUAAGUCCCGCAACGAGCGCAACCCUUACUGUUAGUUGCUACGCAAGAGCACUCUAGCAGGACUGCCGUUGACAAAACGGAGGAAGGUGGGGAUGACGUCAAAUCAUCAUGCCCCUUAUGACCUGGGCCUCACACGUACUACAAUGGCUGUCAACAGAGGGAAGCAAAGCCGCGAGGUGGAGCGAACCCCUAAAAGCAGUCUUAGUUCGGAUUGUAGGCUGCAACCCGCCUACAUGAAGUCGGAAUUGCUAGUAAUCGCAGAUCAGCAUGCUGCGGUGAAUACGUUCCCGGGCCUUGUACACACCGCCCGUCACGCCAUGGGAGUCGGUAACACCCGAAGCCUGUAGUCUAACCGCAAGGAGGACGCAGUCGAAGGUGGGAUUGAUGACUGGGGUGAAGUCGUAACAAGGUAGCCGUAUCGGAAGGUGCGGCUG
rnacentral:rRNA from 1 species